rnacentral:rRNA from 1 species
GAUGAACGCUGGCGGCGUGCCUAAUACAUGCAAGUCGAGCGAACGGACGAGAAGCUUGCGUCUUUGAGGGUAGCGGCUGACGGGUGAGUAACACGUGGAUAACCUACCUAUAAGUCUGGGAUAAUUUCGGGAAACCGGUGCUAAUACCGGCUAAUAUUUUGUACCGCAUGGUUCAAGAGUGAAUGACGCUCUUGCUGACACUUUUAGAUGGUUCCGCGCUGCAUUAGCUAGUUGGUAAGGUAACGGCUUACCAAGGCGACGAUGCAUAGCCGACCUGAGAGGGUGAUCGGCCACACUGGAACUGAGACACGGUCCAGACUCCUACGGGAGGCAGCAGUAGGGAAUCUUCCGCAAUGGGCGCAAGCCUGACGGAGCAACGCCGCGUGAGUGAUGAAGGUCUUCGGAUCGUAAAACUCUGUUAUUGGGAAAGAACAUAUGUAUAAGUAACUGUGCACAUCUUGACGGUACCUAAUCAGAAAGCCACGGCUAACUACGUG